GUUGAACGCUGGCGGCAGGCCUAACACAUGCAAGUCGAGCGGAGCUGCGGACGAGUGAUUACUGCCUAGGAAUCUACAUGGGAGUGGGGGAUAACGUCGGGAGACAGGCGCUAAUACCGCAUGCUUUCAGAUGAGCCUCGGGCGGAUUAGCUAGUUGGUGGGGUAAAGGCCUAACAAGGCGACGAUCCGUCACUGGUCUGAGAGGAUGAUCAAUCACCUGGGAACUGAGACACGGUCCAGGCUCCUUCGGGAGGCAACAGUGGGGAAUUUUGGAGAAUGGGCGAAAGGUCGAUCCAGCCAUGCCGGGUGUGUUAAGGAGGGUUUCGGAAUGUUAAGACUUUUAAGUUGGGAAGCGUUACCAACAGAAUAAGCACCGGCUAAAUUCGGUCCAGGCGCCGCGGUAAUAC
rnacentral:rRNA from 1 species